AUUGAACGCUGGCGGAAUGCUUUACACAUGCAAGUCGAACGGCAGAGGGGGCAACCCCUCGAGAGUGGCGAACGGGUGAGUAAUAUAUCGGAACGUGCCCAGUCGUGGGGGAUAACGUAGCGAAAGUUACGCUAAUACCGCAUACGAUCUAAGGAUGAAAGCGGGGGAUCGCAAGACCUCGCGCGAUUGGAGCGGCCGAUAUCAGAUUAGGUAGUUGGUGGGGGAAAGGCCCACCAAGACAACGAUCUGUACCUGGUCUGAGAGGACGACCAGCAACACUGGAACUGAGACACGGUCCAGACUCCUACGGGAGGCAGCAGUGGGGAAUUUUGGACAAUGGGCGAAAGCCUGAUCCAGCCAUUCCGCGUGCAGGAUGAAGGCCCUCGGGUUGUAAACUGCUUUUGUACAGAACGAAAAGGUUUCUACUAAUACUAGGAGCUCAUGACGGUACUGUAAGAAUAAGCACCGGCUAACUACGUGCCAGCCGCCGCGGUAA
rnacentral:rRNA from 1 species